UUUGUACUUUGUCUGUCCCGC
rnacentral:piRNA from 1 species